rnacentral:rRNA from 1 species
AUUGAACGCUGGCGGCAGGCCUAACACAUGCAAGUCGAGCGGAUGAAGGGAGCUUGCUCCUGGAUUCAGCGGCGGACGGGUGAGUAAUGCCUAGGAAUCUGCCUGGUAGUGGGGGAUAACGUCCGGAAACGGGCGCUAAUACCGCAUACGUCCUGAGGGAGAAAGUGGGGGAUCUUCGGACCUCACGCUAUCAGAUGAGCCUAGGUCGGAUUAGCUAGUUGGUGGGGUAAAGGCCUACCAAGGCGACGAUCCGUAACUGGUCUGAGAGGAUGAUCAGUCACACUGGAACUGAGACACGGUCCAGACUCCUGAGGGAGGCAGCAGUGGGGAAUAUUGGACAAUGGGCGAAAGCCUGAUCCAGCCAGGCCGCGUGUGUGAAGAAGGUCUUCGGAUUGUAAAGCACUUUAAGUUGGGAGGAAGGGCAGUAAGUUAAUACCUUGCUGUUUUGACGUUACCAACAGAAUAAGCACCGGCUAACUUCGUG